rnacentral:rRNA from 1 species
ACGGCUCAGUAACACGUAGCUAACCUACCCUUAGGACGUCGAUAACCCCGAGAAAUUGGGGCUAAUAGGCGAUAGGUGUGAUGUCCUGGAAUGGUAUCACGCCCAAAGGUAUCCCAUACAUGUUUGGUAUACGCCUAAGGAUGGGGCUGCGGCCGAUCAGGCAGUUGGUGAGGUAAUGGCUCACCAAACCUUUGACCGGUACGGGCCAUGAGAGUGGUAGCCCGGAGAUGGACACUGAGACAAGGGUCCAGGCCCUACGGGGCGCAGCAGGCGCGAAACCUCCUCAAUGCACUAACGUGCGAAGGGGUUACCUCGAGUGCCACCUGAAGAAGGUGGCUUUUCCUUGGUCUAAAAAGCCUCGGGAAUAAGAGGGGGGCAAGACUGGUGUCAGCCGCCGCGGUAACACCAGCCCCUCGAGUGGUGGGGAUGAUUAUUUGGCCUAAAGCGUCCGUAGCCGGCCGUAUAAGUUUCCUGUUAAAUCCAACGUCCCAAGCGUUGGACUGCGGGAAAUACUGUACGGCUAGAGAGUGGGAGAGGUCAGCGGUAUUCUGGGGGUAGGGGCGAAAUCCUUUGAUCCCCGGAGGACCACCAGUGGCGAAGGCUGCUGACUAGAACACGUCUGACGGUCAGGGACGAAAGCUGGGGUAGCGAACCGGAUUAGAUACCCGGGUAGUCCCAGCCGUAAACGAUGCAUGCUAGGUGUUGGGUUGGCCACGAGCCACCCCAGUGCCGCAGGGAAGCCGUUAAGCAUGCCGCCUGGGUAGUACGAUCGCAAGAUUGAAGCUUAAAGGAAUUGGCGGGGGAGCACCACCAGGCGUGAAGCCUGCGGUUUAAUUGGAUUCAACGCCGGG